ensembl:lncRNA
GUUGAAAUACACGAGUGAAGGUAAGAAAAACAUGGGAGCAACAUGUACUGAUUGCUGCAGAGCACUCUGUUUCCUACAAGUGACAGAAAGAAGAACAAUCUGAAACUCUAGAGGUAAGAUAACAAGAUAAGGAGCUGGAGCUAUGAAACAUUCAGAUAAGGACAAGUAGACCCAAGAAUUUGAGGGGUAGGGCAAGACGGUGAAGCACCACAGCCCACUAUCCACUGUGAAAGUCUGUAAAAGAGACCUCAAGAAAUCAAUUGGGAGUUCCCAAUCAGGAGCAGCCCAGGAGAUGCAGUGAGGAUGUAAUGGUGCUGUCCUGUGUGCUUCUUGCAGCACUCAGGUGGUCCUGGCCAGACCACUUCUAAGAGAUGCUUGAUAAAAUGGACUCCAUGCCCAAGCUGAAGAUCUUUGUGAUGUUGCUGUCUCUGGUUACUUUCACAGCCAUGGUGAUACUGAAUGCUGGGAAUGCCACUGGGCUUUUCAAAGGUCUGUUCCGGACAACCCCUGGCAACAUCUCAGAGAAGUACAGCACUGACUUCACACCGGCCGGCUGGACUUUCCUCAUCUGGAAUGUCAUCUAUGCCUGGCAGCUGGCGUGGCUCCUGUAUGCUCUGUCAGGGAUCUGCCGGAGAAAUGAACUUGGAUACGUCUUCAUGAAGCCGGACUUGCUGCCAAUACCUUUUUAUGUGGCAUGGAUUCUGAAUAAUGGCCUCAAUGUUGGAUGGCUGUUUCUAUGGGACAGAGAAUACCUCCUCCCAGCCCUGCUGUUGCUGGCAGCCCUCACCUUUACCACAGGUGCUGCUCUCUUCAUCUCGCACAGAGCCUUGAGUAUCCAUUCCACGUGGUUCAUGAAGGGUCACCAAGCUGAUCUCUGGCUCAUCCGGAUCCUAGUGCAGAAUGGGCUGGCACUGUAUGCCACAUGGACCACCAUCGCCACUCUGCUGAACUUUGCUGUUGUGUUGAUCUACAAGUGGGACGUGUCCAAUGAGACAGCAACGACUGCCUGUCUGAGCAUCCUUACUCUCAUGCUUGUCAUGUGGUUUUGCCAGGAGAACUUCUUUCUCGAUAAGUACGUCCGUUAUAACCUCACCAUCUACCCAGUGGUCAUAAUAGCUCUGACUGGCAGCAUGUGCAAGGACUUCUCGGUAUCCUCCCCAACCACCAACGGCGUUUUUAUAGUUGUACUGCUGGCACUGACUUGUUUCAUCUUUGCUGUUCGGCUGGCAUUAGUCAUAUGGAAGCACAGCAAUGAACCAGUGGAAGCACCAGCACCACCACCACAGCCAUCAAGCACAGCAGCCUGAGACCUCUGGCAUGGUGAUGCUAUGUCAGAUGCUUUAGAGGGAGAAGUAAGAGCUGAGCAUCCUGCUUCCACUGGUCCUUUCUUCCAGUAGCAAUUACCCUAUUUUUUUAGCUAUUUUUCUGUUUUCUUUUUUUUUUUUUUAAUAUGCUGGAUUAGUAAGGCUUGUGCCUGCAAACCCAUCCUCCUCCCCUGUUCUCUGAGCUCAGCUAUUUGCAGCCCCACCUCAAACAUGCACCUUCCUCUGUUUCAUUUUUGGUCAGUGGAGGAAGAGGCCCUUUGGAUGAGUAGCUCUGUAUACAUUUGUGAUGACAGAGCUGCUCCUUCCAGUGUGAGGGGGGCUGUCAGCAGAUGCUUGGCACGGAGAGUUGCCCUCACCCUUUCCUGGGAGCUAUGGUGGGCAUGGGAGGAGGGAUGGCUGAAUACUUCUGACACAGCUGCAAGUCUUCGGCCUAUUUCAGGUUGCUCUAACUCUAGGAACUGACAACCUGUUCAUUUCUCGGCACACAGUAUUAUCUCUGUGACUUUCUUACUGAAGCUUGUCACUGUGUCGGUGCCUCCAUCCAUGGCCCCAAAGUAACAGCAGAUCUGUGUCCCCUACCCCACUCCUCCUUUCAGACAGGGGAGAUCCAGGUGAUAUGGGAGCAGUGGGCUACUUGUCCUGAGCUGUGCCCAGUUGGUCACUGCCUCCUUGCAGCCCUUCUGCUGGGAGAUCAGCCAUUCAGACACCACCAUACCUGAUGGAGGGUGGAGCCUGCUGCUUCAUGGAACGCUUCUUGCAUUCUGAGCUGGGGUAGAGUGAAUUCUUCCUGGAUCAGUGCUUUAUAAUGUGGCUUCACCACUGUGGGCUUACUUUGGGAAGCCUGAAUGAGUACUGACUGGAUUGUCAGACCUCCACCUCUAUUUGCUGUGCCUACUAGAUUUGAUGGUGCCUUGUUGGUGUCUGGAAAGUCUUCCUCGAUGACUGGUGCUUGGAAAUGCUGAAUAUCUUGCAGUACUAUUACGAAGGUGAAUUCUACUAAAACAACAUGUUAUUGUCUACAUUUAAUGAAGAGCAAAGUCUGUAUUAUGCUGUUCUUGUCAUUCCAUCACAUUUUUAAAUAAAGCGGCAACUGCCAACACUUUUCAUGCAACCACAGAAACAUUAAGGCUGGAAAAGACCUCUAGGAUCAUCUAGUCCAACCACCAACCGUUCCCACCAUGCCCAUUGCCACAUCUAGCCCUUCUACUAACUCUGCAUGAAGCUCUAAGUAAAUGACUUUUGGAAAUCAUGCUUAUAACAGGGGACCUGACUUCUACUUUUCCUGCAUCUGCUUUGCUAUCUGUGGUGCAGGGUUAGGACCUCUUGGCUUUAAACGAGCUGAAAGGAGCUCCUCACUCCUCAUUAUAAGUGCUGUAGCACCACGUUCAUCUUGUGCAGACCUCCCAGCAAGGAAUCCCCUGAUGACUGUCAUGAAAUGCUGGUGCUGAGUGAGCCCCUGGGAUGGCCCCUCACAAACAAGCUGCUGGCUCCAAGCUGCCUUCCACCACCAUUCCCUGGAGCUGGGGCAGGCAGACAUUCCCACAGCACAGUGCUCCCUGCCAGCAUUGGGAAAAGCAGCUUUCCUUGCAUCCAUGGCAGGAACAGGAGCCUAAAAAUAUCAUCACCCUGCCUGCCCCUUUCCUUUUAGCUGCGGGGAGAGCAGGGCUGAAAACUAGCGGUGUAAGCCUUCCCAUUUGCUAUGUGCUAUUUUUAAAGGUUGUUUCUUUCUGAAAUGCCUUGUUUCCACUUGUUUUCUAGAACCAGAAAUACCAAUGAUGUGCAUUUUCCCCCACAACAGAUCACUCUUCCAACAACGCUGCGUUUCACGAAGCCACGAGCCUGCCAACUUUUUGGCACAAAUAGUCCGCCUGGCCUUUGUUUCCAUGAGCAAUUAUGGGAUGGGGUGAAUUUUACUGGAUUUAAAAAUUCUUGGAAAGCUGAUGGCAUUAAGAACCCAAAGCCUGAAAAAAUGGGUUUGUUUCUAAAACCAAUAAUUCCAAGCCUUGGCAAGAGCCUGUGUGUCUCUCUUAGGCCAGUGCAGGGUGCAAGCUGGAAUAAAACAAAAUUAAAUUGAGGCUGCCAGGGAGGAGAAGUAGAGUCAUAGGAUAGACUCAGAAUCAUGGGGAAAGACCACUAAGCUCACCAAGUCGGACCCCAACCCAUCCCCAUCGUGCCCACUGACCACGUUGCUCAGUGCCGUAUCUUCAUAGCUCAUGGAUGCCUCCAGGGAUGGUGACCUGCCCACUCCCUGGGCAGCUGUGCCACUGCCUCACCACUCCUUCAGAAGGGAACAGGAGCAACCUCUCUGGGGAGCAUGGUGAAGAUCACUGGAUAAAAGCGCCAGAGACAUACAGCAAUGAUGAAAGGGAUACGCACCCUUUGCUAUGCAUGCAGUCUAAACAGGCUUGGGCCAUCCCGAGCCCUUUGAAAACUGUUAGAUGUUUUAAAGCUAAAUAUUUAUUUUAUCUGUGCAGAGCCGGGACAGCCCCGUGUCGAGAGAUUAGCACAGCUCCUUCUGCCAAAGGCAUCUCGGCGCGGAGUCGCAGGCUUGGGUGCAACUCACACAUGGGCUGAACAUGUGGGAAAAUGAUGCUGGAGGAGCCCAGGGUCCUGACCCUGCCCCAGCAGAGCCCUGGCAGCAGCAGGCAGCAGCCCCAUGAGUGUGCCAUGGGCUCCCCCUGCACUCUUCACCUCCAAGCCCUGAAUAUCCACGCAGGAAAGCUGUGUUUUUUCUUGCCUCUUUGGGAACAAAUGAGCUUAAGGAUGCUUGCCCGGUACUUAACCCAUUGAGAAAAGAGCUUGCUUGCUUGGGAUGGGUCCAGUUUGGAGUGCAGGAAGUGAUGGUGAUGUGAUCUAGAGACUUGGUUUCUCUUGAUGUUGUUCUAACAGCUUAAAAAAACAGACUGGACUGGAAAUAAUUGAACUUAAGAGACCCAAGACAUGAAUUAGAGAGAAUAAAUAGCUCGUGUUUGUGCCCAUGCUCAAGAGCUGCCUUGCAGAACGGGGUCACCAUGUAGCUGGUGGGGCUGUGGGCCUUAGAGGUGAUCAGAGGUCCCAAAUCUGGUGUGGGCUUUGCAAGGUCUCCAAUGCAGGGUGGACCUUUGCAGUCCAUGCCCAAACUGAACAGGCACUGUGCAUGGACUAACCAGUACCCAUGUGUGAAUUCAUUGGGUGCUCAUGCAAAAGCAAAGAGGGAGCGUGGAUGCAUGUGGGUUUGGUGCUAAUGCAUGGAUUCCUCUGGUGCAGGAAUUCAUUGGUUGCUCGUACUUGAGCUCUGUGGGUGCUCAUGCAUGAAGUAAUUGGGCUCAUACAUAAAUUAAUUGGGUGCUCAUGCAUCAGCUAAUUGGGUUCUUGUGAACGAAUUAAUCGGUUGUUCUUGCAUGAAUUAAUUUGGUGCUUAUGCACGAGCUGUUUGAGCUCUUGUGCAUAAAUUAAUUGAGCACUCAUGCAUGAGUUAGAUGAGUGUUCAUGCACAAACAAUAAUCAGGUGCUCAUGCAUGGAUUAUUUUGGCACUCGUGCAGGAGUUAACGAGGCUGCAACCCCCGCUGUUGAUGCCCACUGCCCCGCUGACCUGCGAUGACCGAGCUCCAUUCCAAUGCAUCACAUCACAUCCAUUUGCCAAGGGUGCAGAGCACCAUCUAGUGAAUAUCGAUGCAUGACCUCUCCCUACCUGCAACUUGAGCCCAAGUAGCUGUAGAGCUGCAGUGCCCUUGAAGAGCCUGGGAGAGGCCGCAGCCCAGCGACCUGCCACCUGCAGUCACUCUAAUUAAAACCUCCAGGAUGAGUUCACUUCUCUUGAUUUUUUUUUCAUGGACGUGUUUGAAAUCUCCCAUUGCUUUGGGCAGUCUGUGCUGUAAUGAAGUUUUUAGCAACAAUAUUUGAGCUUCACAGUUAUUCUUUAUGGCCAAACAUCUCAGAGGGGUGUCGAGCAGGUUUGUUAGGAAAGAGGAAUGCUUUUCAGUAUGGGAGAUGGCUGGGGACAGAGGUCUGUAACAGUAAGUCACUGCCACAACCCACAGCUGGCAGCAGACAGGCCCUCAGUGAGCCAUGGGGACCAGGUCUGGCUGGGUCGUCCUCCAAGAUCGCUUCAUGGUGGCCCCAAAGUCCCGCUUCAGUGAGCCGGCCUGAUUGAUGGCAUGGCAUAGUUCAUGCUCAGAGGAACUUUCCUCUUCCUCCAUGCCACCACUGUGCUCAGCCGAGAGACCAAAGGCUGCACACGCCUCUGCUGGGGGCAUCUCCAAUCCCCCAGUCCAGCAGCACCAUGG